CGUGUGUGAAGAAGGCCUUCGGGUUGUAAAGCACUUUCAGUCGUGAGGAAGGUGGUGUAGUUAAUAGCUGCAUUAUUUGACGUUAGCGACAGAAGAAGCACCGGCUAACUCCGUGCCAGCAGCCGCGGUAAUACGGAGGGUGCGAGCGUUAAUCGGAAUUACUGGGCGUAAAGCGCAUGCAGGUGGUUUGUUAAGUCAGAUGUGAAAGCCCGGGGCUCAACCUCGGAAUAGCAUUUGAAACUGGCAGACUAGAGUACUGUAGAGGGGGGUAGAAUUUCAGGUGUAGCGGUGAAAUGCGUAGAGAUCUGAAGGAAUACCGGUGGCGAAGGCGGCCCCCUGGACAGAUACUGACACUCAGAUGCGAAAGCGUGGGGAGCAAACAGGAUUAGAUACCCUGGUAGUCCACGCCGUAAACGAUGUCUACUUGGAGGUUGUGGCCUUGAGCCGUGGCUUUCGGAGCUAACGCGUUAAGUAGACCGCCUGGGGAGUACGGUCGCAAGAUUAAAACUCAAAUGAAUUGACGGGGGCCCGCACAAGCGGUGGAGCAUGUGGUUUAAUUCGAUGCAACGCGAAGAACCUUACCUACUCUUGACAUCCAGAGAACUUUCCAGAGAUGGAUUGGUGCCUUCGGGAACUCUGAGACAGGUGCUGCAUGGCUGUCGUCAGCUCGUGUUGUGAAAUGUUGGGUUAAGUCCCCGCAACGAGCGCAACCCUUAUCCUUGUUUGCCAGCGAGUAAUGUCGGGAACUCCAGGGAGACUGCCGGUGAUAAACCGGGAGGAAGGUGGGGAACGACGUCAAGUCAUCAUGGCCCUUACG
rnacentral:rRNA from 1 species